AACGAACGCUGGCGGCAUGCCUAACACAUGCAAGUCGAACGAGACCUUCGGGUCUAGUGGCGCACGGGUGCGUAACGCGUGGGAACCUGCCCUUAGGUUCGGAAUAACUCCCCGAAAGGGGUGCUAAUACCGGAUAAUGUCUUCGGACCAAAGAUUUAUCGCCUUUGGCUGGGCCCGCGUUGGCUUAGCUGGUUGGUAGGGUAAAAGCCUACCAAGGCGACGAUCCAUAGCUGGUCUGAGAGGAUGAUCAGCCACACUGGGACUGAGACACGGCCCAGACUCCUACGGGAGGCAGCAGUGGGGAAUAUUGGACAAUGGGCGAAAGCCUGAUCCAGCAAUGCCGCGUGAGUGAUGAAGGCCUUAGGGUUGUAAAGCUCUUUUACCCGGGAUGAUAAUGACAGUACCGGGAGAAUAAGCUCCGGCUAACUCCGUG
rnacentral:rRNA from 1 species